UCAUUUCUAAAUUUCUGCUUUGUUAUUCUCAUCUUCCGGUAACCACAGGAUGAUCCAAGAAAGUUAGUAGGAUUCGAACCUAUGACCGGCCUGCCCUCUGGGUUGGCUGGCCGGGUUAGUACCCCUCGUAUUUCUUUUAAAUUUUUAGAUCUUUCACACCAUUACUAUCAUUUCCUCCUCCAAAUCUAAGCACACUACCACCACCGCCACCUUUAAAUUUGGCUACCGCCAUAAAUUUUUUAUUUUUGUUUCUCGUUUGUAAGAUCCCAUCAAAAACACAUUCAGAACUAAAAGUUUUGUGGGGAGCCCAAAUGGGUUGCCGUUUGUCGGUACCAAUUAUUCCGGCGAGGCAAUGUCGGGAUUAGUUCAAAUUUGAAAGCUACAAAAUUUCGUUAGAAGUUUUGAUACCGCCAGGUGGUUACACCUCUCUGCUAUGCCAUCUCCAUUACAACAGUUAAUUUGCCGAUAGGUGGUUAUCCAUUACAACCCCUUUCUUCUUGUUCAGAAAUUUGGGGAAGAUUGGUUGUUAGGGAAGAUGACGAUUGCAAAAUACAAAAGGUGUGCAAAUUAGCAGUUGGGGAAGAAGAAGAGACCAAAUUUCUGGAGAAGAAGACAGAGCUGGAAAAGAAAUAGCCGAAAAUUAGUUUUCCGGCGAGGAGGGGUCGUUGGGAAGAUGACGAUGGGUGGGGUGGUUUCUGGAAGGAUCAAUUGGACACAAUGGUCGAAUACAAUAGAGUGAAGGUCAAGUGUUUGAUUGAAUUUACUAGAGGUUUUUGCGUAUGUAUGGUCAAACUUCUGUUAUUCAUUCAAAGAAAUGAUCAAAAGAUCUUUAUUUGCCGGAGAAGUGGGCGUUUCCAAUGAUAAUGCAUGGCUACUUAACAGGGGGAAUUAACAGCAAAUACUAGUUUAUCUCAUUAUUGUUGAUAAAAUGGCCUAGUCCUUCACAUCUUGAUCUACCGUGCAUUGUGCUCCAAAAGGUACUAAGAGAGGCGGCGUUAAAACUCAAACUCGAGUCCUCUGCCUAAGUUGGUGCCAUCCGGAAAGAGAGAACAUGUUGAAUUGUGUGAACUACCUUAUCUGAAAGCGCAAGCUAUUAGAGAGAGAACAUAGUUAUUUAUUUAUGUUUGCAGCCUGAUCUAGAGGAUAUGGAGUCUACAAGGGGAGAAGCACAUUGGGAUUUGAAGUUUUGGAACAACUUGCGCAAGACUGGAAGGUCGAAGCACAUGAUAGUCAAGAUGUAAGGAGAUGGGGUGCGGGGGAAAAUGGUGUCUUUUAUGUAAAUCCUAUUAUGAGAAGUUUAUGACUAUGGAGGAGUCGAGAAAGGUGUAUAUGUUUUCACUUGGCUAGCUGCGCGUGGGGUAAUCUUGACGGUGGAGAACUUGGGGAAGAAGUUUAUUUGUUGGUUGGCGCUUCAUGUGUAAAGACUCAUGGAAAAAUGUGAAUCACUUCCAUUUACUUUGUCGAAUAGCGUCUUAGUUGUGGUGGGAAAUCCUGUGAUGGUUUGGACCAGAGUGAGUAAUGUCGAGCACUGUGAAAGAAAUAAUAUUUAGUUAGACCUUUAGAAGACAGCUAAGUUGCUCUGACAUGGGUACGGGUGUCCGACACGGGUGCGGAUCUAGAGGUCGGAUCCUUUAAGAUGAAAAUUUUAAGAUUCGGGGAUACGAAUCCUAGAACCGAUACGGGUGCGGGGAUACAGCUAAAAGUUUGCACACUUGUAUUAAUAUUUGCCGUGCUAAGACAAAAAAGUUUGCACACUUGUAAUAAAUUUGCUACAGUAACGUGAUCAUAAAAGUAAAGUAUGUCAAAAAGCAUAUCACUUUUUACAAAGAGCUACAGUAACUCUUUUUUGUGGCCCAUAUUGCAAGUGAAUGCAAUAUUUAAUGAGAGACAGCUAUAACUCUUCAUAAACGACAAAAUAUUAGCUGUCAAUUAAAAAAUGGUCAAUUCCUAAUUUGUCUCAUUCUUCAUCCGUUCUCUGUACUCGCCUCUUCUUCUUUCCAUCUCUGAUCUUCUUCCCCAACAAAACCUUUUCCAUCUCUUUAUUUUUUUCAGUACAAAACCCAUUAUGCCUCAGUCCAGUAGUCCACCACCCAUCUUUUGCUUCUCUGCCCAGAAAAGAACAGGAGCUCUUGAUUUAAAAAACCUGCAGCAUGAACAAGACGAUUGACCAAGACAAAAAGCUUCAAAGGAGACAAAAAAACUAAUAUAAGAAGGAGAAUAUCAACGAAAUUGAAGGUAUUUCGUUUCCCAUCUCUUCAAAUCUUUACUUAGUGAAAUCAAUUGGGAAAAUUUUUGGUCAACGCACCCGAUCUUGUCUGACCAUAUCUGACACAGAUCCCACACUCUUACCCAUGUCAGUGUCGUGUCGACACGGGUACGACACCCAAAUUGCCGUGUCCGAGCAACUUAGGAAGACGGAGGAGACACAGGGUAUGGGAUGCUGCUCCUCUAUACUUAUGGACUGUAUGAAGAGAGAGGAUUUGGAGCGCUUUUGAUGGAGUAGAGAUGGUUUUGUACACUUGAGGAAUAACCUUCUACCUCUUAUUCCUUUUUGGUGCACCCAUGAGGUUCCCAUAUGUAUAAAAGAUUGGGUGUCUUUCAUAGAAAAUCAUAUCAUUUCGGAAGCUUUUUCUACCUUUUGGUAUACCUCUUGUAUACAGGCAUUUUUUGCGCUUCUUUUGAUGAAAUUUUUUACUUUAUAAAAAAAAAAAAAUUGAUCCAUAGGAUGACUACAAAAGUGAAACUUUUGAUGGAUUGUCGGAAGUAGUGAUUCCUACUAAUUUCAGAGAUCAUUAUCUUAGUUGAAGAAAAAGUGUCAUAGACUUAUGUUUAAGAUCAACUAAUCAGAUUAUUUGUCUUUGCUUCUCCACCCAACAAUAAUAACAUACCCCGUGUAAUCCCACAAGUGGGGUCUGGAGAGUGUAGUGUGCAAGCAGACCUUACCCCUACUUUAAAGAGGUAGAGAGGCUUCUCCACCCAUUUAAUCUAAUAGUGACUCAUCAAAAGCUAGUAAUAACUAAAAGAGAAAUGGAGCCAGUCCUUACUUGAGAUGCUAUUCUGGAAAAAAAGGCCAACUCUUCUUUGCACUCAGGGCAACACAUAGUUUCAUUGACAACCAAUUAGCUAUAUCCAUCUCAAUAAACAAACUUCAACAAAAGAAAGAAGGAACUUUAAGUUUGACAAUCUUGAUGGUGUCUUUCACGAUCAACGUUGCUGGCUGAAGGUAUACUUUUGUUGCAUUUGUACUACUAGAUAUUUGCUCAAAUACCAUAAAUAUUUAUCCUUUUAGUCAUACUUAAAGAGCUUUAAAUCUUGGAAAUCUAUUAUUCUGUCACUUAUUCUAGCUUAAGUUGCUUUUUGCGAAUUGAUAUAUAAUGCAAAACAUACUUAUAUUUAUGUGUAUGAUUGGUCAUAGUUCUUCUGUGGUAAUUAAAUGAACGAAAUAGAGAGCUUUUUGUACUGACCUUAUUUAUAUUUACCCAUGCUACCUAUUAUGUUUAUAGUAUAAAGAGUGAGGAUUGAGGAAUUUGUAUAUCUUGUGUAAGCAUGCAAAUGCAGAAAUGGCUCACGAAAACUCAUGUAGGCAUUCUGAAGGCAAAAUUUUAAUAGUGGUGGCUUUGUUGCAAGUUUACUACAUAGAGUACGAUGCAAGCAUUUAUUAAAUUUCAUCUAGGUUGCUAUCCAUUGAAACUUCUGUAUUGGCUGGUUUUCCAGAAUCUUUUACUUCAGAUCAUUGGCCACGUUUUACUGAAUCCACUGACAACGUUCUAUCUCCUCUUUGUUUUGCCUGCACAAUAAGAAACUUAUGAAUUGAUCCAGAAAAGAUACCACAUAUAUAUCUAAUAUCUAAUCAAACUGAACUUUUAAGUGCAAGAAAUACAAAUAUCUUAAGGUUUAUUUGUUGAGAAAGAUAUUUACUUUUUAUGGACUUCCAUGUGCUGUAGUCUUUUAUCAUCUAGCAUUGAUGCAUUGACUGUAUGGACUGAUGCAGUAAAAAGCUGAAAAUUUAGAGUAUCUGACUAACUAAGUUGAGGUAGAAAACAUCAAGUCGAAUAUAAAAGAUAUUAUGUCUGGAGACGUAGCAAUGAUCCUAAUACCGCACACCGUUUCAAAGUUGAAAUUUAUACAUACGUUUUGCAUUAAAUACAUUUAAGUCCCUGCUCACAAUGCCAUGUAAGUUUUAGGUGAAAAUCACUUAGAUAGGCUGUAAUUUGUUGCAAAAGUAUAUCAUUAAACAUUCUAGCAUAUCUCCCACAAACCAUAAUUUAUUGAAAGUAAAUAUUUCUUGAAUAAUGUAAUUGGUUGCCAUUGCAGAUAUUUGUUAUUUAAUACGUAAACAUUUAAUUUUCCUGCUAGACUAUUUUUCGUAUUGUUAGUUUAUAAGUGUAUCAUAUGUAGCUUCCAUGUUUGCUAUUGUUAUUUUUAUAGGCAAUAAUUGCCGCUAGCUGUUUCUGGUUUUGCUAUUAUGUAGUUAACCCUUAGA